CCAUUUCAAGGAAGGAGCAGGCGCGCAAAUUACCCAAUCCUGACUCAGGGAGGUAGUGACAAGAAAUAACAAUAAACCGGCUUAUGCCGGUUUAAUUGGAAUGAGUACAAUUUAAACAUCUUAACGAGGAACAAUUGGAGGGCAAGUCUGGUGCCAGCAGCCGCGGUAAUUCCAGCUCCAAUAGCGUAUACUAAAGUUGUUGCAGUUAAAAAGCUCGUAGUUGGAUUUCUGUGGGGACGGAGCGGCCGGCCGCACAUCGCGGUUCGAGCUAGCGCUUUCCCUACAUCCUGCCGCGAACCGUGCUACCAUUAGUUUGGUGGCGCCGGGGAUCGGCUCGAUUACUUUGAGAAAAAUAGAGUGUUCAAAGCAGGCCACAUGCCUUGAAUAAGUUAGCAUGGAAUAAUAACUAAGGACUUCGGUUCUAUUUUGUUGGUGUUCGGGACUGAAGUAAUGAUUGAUAGGGACAGUUGGGGCGGUCUGUAUUCCAAAGCGAGAGGUGAAAUUCUUAGACCUUCGGAAGACAAACAGCUGCGAAAGCGUUCCGCAAGGAUGUUCCCUUUGAUCAAGAACGAAAGUUGGGGGAUCGAAGACGAUCAGAUACCGUCGUAGUCUCAACUAUAAACUAUACCAGCUAGGGAUCGGCCAACGUUAUUUUAUACCGACUUGGUCGGCACCUUAUGAGAAAUCAAAGCAUCUGGGUUCCGGGGGGAGUAUGGUCGCAAGGCUGAAACUUAAAGGAAUUGACGGAAGGGCACCACCAGCCGUGGAGCCUGUGGCUUAAUUUGACUCAACACGGGAAAACUUACCAGGUCCAGACAUAGUAAGGAUUGACAGAUUGAUAGCUCUUUCUUGAUUCUGUGGGUGGUGGUGCAUGGCCGUUCUUAGUUGGUGGAGUGAUUUGUCUGGUUAAUUCCGUUAACGAACGAGACCCCAGCCUGCUAAAUAGCGCGCGUGAGCUUUGCUCGCGGCGAGCUUCUUAGAGGGACUAUGAUGCGCGAUAGCACAUAGAAGUUUGGGGCAAUAACAGGUCUGUGAUGCCCUUAGAUGUUCUGGGCCGCACACGGGCUACACUGGCGCCUGCAACGAGCAUAUCAGCUGGCCCGAGAGGGUCUUGGCUAAUCUUUUGAACCGGCGCCGUGCUUGGGAUUGACCUUUGCAAUUGUUGGUCAUGCAACGAGGAAUGCCUUGUAAACGCGAGUCAUCAGCUCGCAUUGAAUACGUCCCUGCCCUUUGUACACACCGCCCGUCGCUCCUACCGAUGAAUGUUCCGAUGAAAUUUUCGGAGAGCACCUGUGAACUUGGCUCUGCCUUGCGAACGGGAGGCUCAAAGUCAC
rnacentral:rRNA from 1 species